rnacentral:rRNA from 1 species
GAUGAACGCUAGCGGCAGGCUUAAUACAUGCAAGUCGAGGGGCAGCACGGUUAGCAAUAACUGGUGGCGACCGGCGCACGGGUGCGUAACACGUAUACAAUCUACCUUAAACAGGGGAUAGCCUUUCGAAAGAGAGAUUAAUACCCCGUAAUAAAUUGAACGGCAUCGUUUGAUUUUGAAAGCUCCGGCGGUUUGAGAUGAGUAAGCGUCUGAUUAGCUAGUUGGUGAGGUAACGGCUCACCAAGGCGACGAUCAGUAGGGGAUCUGAGAGGACUAACCCCCACACUGGUACUGAGACACGGACCAGACUCCUACGGGAGGCAGCAGUAAGGAAUAUUGGUCAAUGGAGGCAACUCUGAACCAGCCAUGCCGCGUGCAGGAUGACGGCCCUAUGGGUUGUAAACUGCUUUUAUACAAGAGAAAACCCUGGUACGUGUACCAGGUUGAUAGUAUUGUAAGAAUAAGCAUCGGCUAACUUCGUGCCAGCAGCCGCGGUAAU